rnacentral:rRNA from 1 species
UAGGGAAUUUUGCGCAAUGGGCGAAAGCCUGACGCAGCAACGCCGCGUGAUUGAUUAAGCCCUUCGGGGUGUAAAGAUCUGUCAGUGGGGACGAAACUUGACGGUACCCACAGAGGAAGCACCGGCUAACUCCGUGCCAGCAGCCGCGGUAAUACGGAGGGUGCAAGCGUUGUCCGGAAUCAUUGGGCGUAAAGAGUUCGUAGGUGGUUUGUUAAGUUUGGUGUUAAAUGCAGAGGCUCAACUUCUGUUCGGCAUCGGAUACUGGCAGACUAGAAUGCGGUAGAGGUAAAGGGAAUUCCUGGUGUAGCGGUGAAAUGCGUAGAUAUCAGGAGGAACAUCGGUGGCGAAAGCGCUUUACUGGGCCGUAAUUGACACUGAGGAACGAAAGCCAGGGUAGCAAAUGGG